rnacentral:lncRNA from 1 species
GAGCCUGUUCUGUGAAGCAUAUCUGGAAUAUAAGGUUUUAUAUAGUCGCUAUGGCUCCAGUUCUACCACCCACAAAUUCAUCCUUAUCAGUUGUUAACUGAAUGGGCAUGCAGAUGCUGUGGAGGUUAGGACAAAGUUCCAGCUAGCUUUAAGAAGAGCUUGUAGGGAAGAAUUCCAGUGGGACAGCAUGUACCUCUUUUCUAAGGACAAGAUCAGGACCUGAGAACCAAACCACGUUGUCAUGUGAAGCUUGGCUGUGAAAAUACCUGUCUGCUGCUGUGCGAAAUUGCCAGCAGUUGGAACACCAACAGAUCAGUCUGUAGGAGCAAUGUCGAUUUUUGAAGUUUGUACACAUGACCCCAUUUAACAGAGAGGGAGCUAAGAAGUAAGAGAUGAAAUGAUGUGCUCUGGAC